rnacentral:rRNA from 1 species
GUGUGAAAGCCCCGGGCUCAACCUGGGAAUGGCAUCCGGAACGGGCAGGCUAGAGUGCAGGAGAGGAAGGUAGAAUUCCCGGUGUAGCGGUGAAAUGCGUAGAGAUCGGGAGGAAUACCAGUGGCGAAGGCGGCUUUCUGGACUGACACUGACGCUGAGGUGCGAAAGCGUGGGUAGCAAACAGGAUUAGAUACCCUGGUAGUCCACGCCGUAAACGAUGUCGACUAGCCGUUGGGUCCCUUGAGGACUUAGUGGCGCAGUUAACGCGAUAAGUCGACCGCCUGGGGAGUACGGCCGCAAGGUUAAAACUCAAAUGAAUUGACGGGGGCCCGCACAAGCGGUGGAGCAUGUGGUUUAAUUCGAUGCAACGCGAAGAACCUUACCUACCCUUGACAUCCUGCGAACUGGGUAGAGAUACCCGGGUGCCUUCGGGAGCGCAGAGACAGGUGCUGCAUGGCUGUCGUCAGCUCGUGUUGUGAAAUGUUGGGUUAAGUCCCGUAACGAGCGCAACCCUUAUCCCUAUUUGCCAGCGGUCCGGCCGGGAACUCUAGGGAGACUGCCGGUGACAAACCGGAGGAAGGUGGGGACGACGUCAAGUCAUCAUGGCCCUUACGGGUAGGGCUACACACGUGCUACAAUGGCCGGUACAAAGGGUUGCGAAAGCGCGAGCUGAAGCCAAUCCCGGAAAGUCGGUCUCAGUCCGGAUCGGAGUCUGCAACUCGACUCCGCGAAGUCGGAAUCGCUAGUAAUCGUGCAUCAGAAUGGCACGGUGAAUACGUUCCCGGGCCUUGUACACACCGCCCGU